rnacentral:rRNA from 1 species
CCUACGGGUGGCUGCAGUGAGGAAUAUUGGUCAAUGGACGAGAGUCUGAACCAGCCAAGUAGCGUGAAGGAUGACUGCCCUAUGGGUUGUAAACUUCUUUUAUAUGGGAAUAAAAUGUUCCACGUGUGGGAUUUUGUAUGUACCAUAUGAAUAAGGAUCGGCUAACUCCGUGCCAGCAGCCGCGGUAAUACGGAGGAUCCAAGCGUUAUCCGGAUUUAUUGGGUUUAAAGGGAGCGUAGGUGGAUUGUUAAGUCAGUUGUGAAAGUUUGCGGCUCAACCGUAAAAUUGCAGUUGAAACUGGCAGUCUUGAGGACAGUAGAGGUGGGCGGAAUUCGUGGUGUAGCGGUGAAAUGCUUAGAUAUCACGAAGAACUCCGAUUGCGAAGGCAGUUCACUGGACUGCAACUGACACUGAGGCUCGAAAGUGUGGGUAUCAAACAGGAUUAGAUACCCGAGUAGUC